ensembl:lncRNA
GGAAAAUGGGUCUGUGGAGGGGGGUGGAUCACCAGCCAUAAUAAAAGAUUCUCAGCCUAGGGUGGCAGGCUGGGCUCUGCCACUUCAUGAGCACCCGAGGGCACCCUGUGUGUGUUUGUUAGUGGUUGAAGCGUGGACCUAUCAGGAGGACAGGUGGAGAGGCGUUGAAAGAGAGGGUUGGCAGAAAGGACUCACUGUCAGGAGGACCAAGAGCUCCCAGCCAGGCCCCACUCAGCCUGGACACCGCCUCUGCCUGGGAAYCCGGGACCUGCCCACCUGCUGCAAGCAGCCAGCCUCAGGUGGUCAGUCCCCUCCUCCGUCCCUCCUGCCCUGGAGGAGGAGCAGGGCCACCCUUGCUGAGAGCURCCUCCUUGUGCUGGCCCUGGGCGUCAUCCUGAAGAGUGGGCAAGGUGGACUCCUGCAGAACCUGGACUCCACCUGGGCUGCUUAGAACAAYGCUUCCUCCUCUUGGUGUUGUUCCUUUAUGUUUUAUUAAUGUAGAGUGUUCCUCGUUGAGCAGCAGUAAUGUCAUAAAACUCUUCAAAAGGCAAAAGGGCUUUCAGAGGGACAGCAGGUCUGCSCUCUACCUGCCUACUGCAAGGAUCUCUGUGGUUUCAGCCUCAUUUGCUCAGGGGCACCGUGCCCAGAGCCCAGGCCCUUCCCACCUCUGCACCUGGAGGAGCAGAGCCCCUGGGAUUCCAUCCUGCCCUGGACCCGGGAUGACAGUCCCCGGGACCAACAGUGACCGUGGAGGAGGAGAACGACAAGGUCGGCUGUUUCCAGGUCCCACGAGCAGGCUCACCAGCUCAGGACCCGGAAGAGUUCCCAGAAAGGACUUGUUSACUAGUCGGACAGAGGUGGGGAGGAAGGACACAGAAUGGGGAGAGCCCGGGAGCCAGCACCGUGGAUGCUACGGAGAGUGGGGAAACCAGCACUCUCAGAUCUGGGUCAUGCUGAGCCCAGGACCAGACCAAAGAGAGCAGAGGACUGCCACAGAAGAAAGAAGAGAGUCUAGCUGCUCCCGGGAGUGGAGAUCAUGAAAGUGUGAGACCUCUGGGGUACAGAGAAUCGUUUCUUGGCUCCUGAGUCCCUUCUGGAGGAAAUCUUCCAAGCCAAUAGCAUUGUAUCUGUGGAGGAGGGGGAAAACCUCCUCUACUCACUUAGGUUCAGUGAUGGGGGUGUGCAAAUUAGACCGAGAAAAGACAGAGUMGCAGGGGAAAAGGCAUGUAAGUUUUGUUGGAUGUUAAUAUCUUAACCGAGGGUUCAGGGAGUCMAAGUCAGAGUCAGGUGAGGGUGGGGUCCUAGAAAGGAAGAGGGCCAGUGUGAAACUGCAUCUUUCAGAGAAGCAGGUCCACAGAACUUUCCCUAGGAGAAGGAAAUGAGUCAUGGGACUGGGUGCUCCCCACAUAGCCCUGGAGAUGUGUCGACUUCCUGGAGUGCCCCUACCCACCCCACGCCCCCACAUGCCGCCUGCCGAUUCUGUCCCUGCAGGGCCACCGAACAUGUGGUGUCUGGAGGAGCGGAACAGGAGGGCAGCAGGGUGCAGGAUGAGGGAGGCCCAGGAGCAAGCACUUGCAGUUUCCAGAAGGACUUUCUUGCUGCUGUGUGGAAACUGGGUUGCGUGGGCUUCUGAGAUCUUGUCGGUCUUUCGAGCCAUUCUAUGUUGCAAAAGAACUAGUCCUUGAGAACGGCCACCUUGCAGAGGGGCUGCGAGCCGAGCAGAGAGGAUCCAGGCCUGGGWUGAAGGCCACGGUGACCUCAGGGCUCUCGGUGUCGCAGGAUGAGGGACAGGCUCGGUGUGUUCUCUUUAGUAGGGAGAUUUCAAAAAGCAUCCCAGGGGCUGGUGCUGGGGCUCAGCGGUGGAGCGCUCACCUAGCAUGUGUGAGGGCCUGGGUUCCAUCCUCAGCACCACAUGAAAGAUAUUUAAAUAAAGGUAUUGGGUCCCCAGUUCCCCA